rnacentral:rRNA from 1 species
CUACGACUGCAAGGUUAAAACUCAAAGGAAUUGACGGGAAUUCAAACAAGCAGUGGAGCAUGUGGUUUAAUUCGAAAAUACGCGUGAAACCUUACCAAUUUUUGUUUUCAGGUGUUGCAUGGCUGUCGUCAGUCCGUGCUUUGAAGUGUUUGGUUUAUUCCAAUAAACGGACGAAACUUUUAUAUGUUUUAUUUACAUAGUUAUUAAAGAUAUCUUAUUAAAAAGAAAACGAUGACAAGUCUUUAUGACCCUUAUAAAUUGGGCUACUUUUCAUGUGCUACAAUAUUUUUUACAGAAAAAAAGUUUUUUAAAAGUAAAACUUUAAAAAGAAAAUAUAGCAGAUUAUUUUCUGAAAUUUGAAAAUAUAAAGUUGGAAUUGCUAGUAAUCGAAAAAUUAGAAUGUUUCGGUGAAUAUGUUCUUGAAUUUUGUACACACCGCCCGUCACGCUAUGGAAAUCACCUUUAUUUGAAAAAUUUUGAUUUUAGAAU